GAUGAACGCUAGCUACAGGCUUAACACAUGCAAGUCGAGGGGUAACGAGAGGAAAGCUUGCUUUCCUUGUCGACGACCGGCGCACGGGUGAGUAACGCGUAUCCAACCUGCCCCCAACUAGGGAAUAACCUUGCGAAAGUAAGACUAAUACCCUAUAAUUUCCUCAGAUGUCAUCUGACGAGGAAUAAAGAUUUAUCGGUUUUGGAUGGGGAUGCGUCUGAUUAGCUUGUUGGCGGGGUAACGGCCCACCAAGGCAACGAUCAGUAGGGGUUCUGAGAGGAAGGUCCCCCACAUUGGAACUGAGACACGGUCCAAACUCCUACGGGAGGCAGCAGUGAGGAAUAUUGGUCAAUGGGCGGAAGCCUGAACCAGCCAAGUAGCGUGCAGGAUGACGGCCCUAUGGGUUGUAAACUGCUUUUAUACAGGAAUAAAGUUAGCCACGUGUGGUUAUUUGUAGGUACUGUAUGAAUAAGGACCGGCCAAUUCCGUGCCAGCCGCCGCGGUAA
rnacentral:rRNA from 1 species